UACGAAGGGGGCUAGCGUUGCUCGGAAUCACUGGGCGUAAAGCGCACGUAGGCGGAUUGUUAAGUCAGGGGUGAAAUCCUGGAGCUCAACUCCAGAACUGCCUUUGAUACUGGCGAUCUUGAGUCCGGGAGAGGUGAGUGGAACUCCGAGUGUAGAGGUGAAAUUCGUAGAUAUUCGGAAGAACAUCAGUGGCGAAAGCGGCCGGCUGGGCCCAACCUGACGCUGAGGCGCGAAAGCGUGGGGAGCGAACCGG
rnacentral:rRNA from 1 species